rnacentral:rRNA from 1 species
UACGUAGGUGGCGAGCGUUGUCCGGAAUUACUGGGCGUAAAGGGCGCGUAGGCGGUUAAUUAAGUCAGAUGUGAAAACCCGGGGCUUAACUCCGGGAUUGCAUUUGAAACUGGAUAGCUUGAGUGCAGGAGAGGUAAGUGGAAUUCCUAGUGUAGCGGUGAAAUGCGUAGAUAUUAGGAGGAACACCAGUGGCGAAGGCGACUUACUGGACUGUAACUGACGCUGAGGCGCGAAAGCGUGGGGAGCAAACAGGAUUAGAUACCCUGGUAGUCCACGCUGUAAACGAUGGAUACUAGGUGUGGGAGGUAUCGACCCCUUCCGUGCCGCAGUUAACGCAAUAAGUAUCCCGCCUGGGGAGUACGGCCGCAAGGUUGAA